GACGAACGCUGGCGGCGUGCCUAAUACAUGCAAGUAGAACGCUGAAGGAGGAGCUUGCUCUUCUGGAUGAGUUGCGAACGGGUGAGUAACGCGUAGGUAACCUGCCUGGUAGCGGGGGAUAACUAUUGGAAACGAUAGCUAAUACCGCAUAACAGUAGAUGUUGCAUGACAUUUACUUAAAAGGUGCAAUUGCAUCACUACCAGAUGGACCUGCGUUGUAUUAGCUAGUUGGUGGGGUAACGGCUCACCAAGGCGACGAUACAUAGCCGACCUGAGAGGGUGAUCGGCCACCCUGGGACGGAGACACGGCCCAUACGCCUACGGGAGGCAGCAGUAGGGAAUCUGCGGCAAUGGACGGAAGUCUGACCGAGCAACGCCGCGUGAGUGAAGAAGGUGUUCGGAUCGUAAAGAUCGGUUGUAAGUGAAGAACGGGUGUGAGAGUGGAAAGUUCACACUGUGACGGUAUCUUACCAGAAAGCGACGGCUAACUACGUG
rnacentral:rRNA from 1 species